rnacentral:rRNA from 1 species
GACGAACUGUCCAAACGUUGUUCGGAAUCACUGGGCUUAAAGGGCGCGUAGGCGGCCCGCUAAGUCGAACGUGAAAUCCCUGGGCUCAACCCAGGAACUGCGUCCGAUACUGGCAGGCUUGAAUCCGGGAGAGGGAUGCGGAAUUCCAGGUGUAGCGGUGAAAUGCGUAGAUAUCUGGAGGAACACCGGUGGCGAAGGCGGCGUCCUGGACCAACACUGACACUGAUGAGCGAAAGCCAGGGGAGCAAACGGG